rnacentral:lncRNA from 1 species
CUAUCCACAUUCACAUAAUAAUCCACAACCAUCUUGACAUUGAGAAUGAAUGAAUGAGUGAUUACAUCAAGAAAGAUUGGGUGUCCUAAGAUCCAGAUGGUCUUUUCUGAAUUCCCAGAUGUUAUAGACUGAAAGUUUUGCCCAUCUGAAAUUUGUAUGUUGAACUCCUAACUUCCAAUGCCAUAGCAUUAGGAGAUAGCACCUGUGGGAGGUAAUUGGAUCAUGAUGAUGGAACUCUCAUGAAUGGGAUUAGUGCUCACAUAAAAGGGGCCCCUGAUAACUCUCUCACUCCUUUUCUACCAUGUGAGAAUACAACGAGAAGUUGGCCAUCUACAAUCUGGAAGGAGGUCUCACCAUAAGUGACCAUGCUGGCACCCUGAUCUUAGAUUUCCAGCCUCCAGACCUGUGAUAAAUACAUUUCUGUUGUUUUUAAGCCACCCAGUCUAUGGUGCUUUGUUAUAGCAACCCAAAUUAAGACAGCAUCCACAUCUACUUGGGUUGAGAAAAUUCAUUAAGAAGAACCGGCUUGGGAAGGCUCAGGCACCAAGUGGUCCCAGGGCUUUGAGUCCUUUUAUUUUCCCAGGACAGCACACCCACACAGCUCAUAGACUCGUUAGGGCCACAUUAAACCUUGGAAUGGGACAGAUUAUGAUUCCUGCAAAGAAGUUGCACUGGUAAUGACUGGGCAGUGGUUCCUCUGGGGCUUGCCUGUUUACAAAAUGGUACUGGAUUUCUCACAUCCUGAAUUCAGAGUCACCCUGGGAAAUUCUUAAUCCUUGCUCCUUAUGAUCUCAAGAUGUGUGGCAGCAGAGAGCCAGAAAAUGCCUCCAGGCUUUCUUCUUUCUCCCUUUGCCUGUUAGAUAUUCUCAGAACACAAUAGGAUUCAGGAACCAUGUGAGUUUGUGUGCCCACGUGCAGCAGGGCCAGUUUUAUUACUUUAUGACGGUUCCUUCCUGAAUGUCUCAUAGAAUACAAGUCUGAACACUGUGAGUGAGCCCUGGGAGGGUUAUCUCUUUUUACUUUCAGGUCUUGGCAAUUUUAUUCCAAUAGUGUCAUCAAUAUUGAUUAUGUGUCUACUCUAUGUAUCGUAAUAAUACUAAUAACCUACAUUUAUACAGUCCAUAUAAACCCUUAAGUUUGCAAAGAAGCUUGAAGGUCAUCACUCUAACAUGGCCCAUUCUAUCCAUUUCAGCAUUGAUUUUGUCUUAUUCAAUCAUCAGAACCAUGUGAGGAACGUUGGAUGAUUAGUCCUAAUUUAAAGAUGGAGAGGAGCAUAAGGACUCACUUACUCAAGGUCACAAGAUAAUAAAUGACGAAGCUGGCACUCAAAUCACUGUCCUUGUAAAGAGACACAUUGUGGUAGAUAUGACCACCUACUGACACUACUUGCGCAACUCAGAAGUAAGGCAGAAGAGUUAUUGCCAUGUGCUGCCACACUUGAGAAAGCUGAGAUUCAGAGAACAUCAGUGACAACCCAAAGCCAUAU